UAACGUAAAGAACCUGCCUCAUAGACUGGGACAACUAUUGGAAACGAUAGCUAAUACCGGAUAACAGCAUUAACUGCAUGGUUGAUGUUUAAAAGUUGGUUUUGCUAACACUAUGAGAUGGCUUUGCGGUGCAUUAGCUAGUUGGUGGGGUAAAGGCCUACCAAGGCGACGAUGCAUAGCCGACCUGAGAGGGUGAUCGGCCACACUGGGACUGAGACACGGCCCAG
rnacentral:rRNA from 1 species